rnacentral:rRNA from 1 species
UACGUAGGAUGCAAGCGUUGUCCGGAAUUAUUGGGCGUAAAGAGCGCGCAGGCGGUAUGACAAGUCAGAUGUGAAAGGAGGCCGGCUUAACCGGCAAGGGUCAUUUGAAACUGUCAAACUAGAGUGCAGCAGAGGAUAGUGGAAUUCCCGGUGUAGUGGUAGAAAUGCGUAGAUAGUCGGGAGGAACACCAGUGGCGAAGGCGACUAUCUGGGCUGCAACUGACGCUGAGGCGCGAAGGCUAGGGUAGCAAACAGG